rnacentral:rRNA from 1 species
GACCUAGCGGCGGACGGGUGAGUAAUGCUUAGGAAUCUGCCUAUUAGUGGGGGACAACAUCUCGAAAGGGAUGCUAAUACCGCAUACGUCCUACGGGAGAAAGCAGGGGACCUUCGGGCCUUGCGCUAAUAGAUGAGCCUAAGUCGGAUUAGCUAGUUGGUGGGGUAAAGGCCUACCAAGGCGACGAUCUGUAGCGGGUCUGAGAGGAUGAUCCGCCACACUGGGACUGAGACACGGCCCAGACUCCUACGGGAGGCAGCAGUGGGGAAUAUUGGACAAUGGGGGGAACCCUGAUCCAGCCAUGCCGCGUGUGUGAAGAAGGCCUUUUGGUUGUAAAGCACUUUAAGCGAGGAGGAGGCUACCGAGAUUAAUACUCUUGGAUAGUGGACGUUACUCGCAGAAUAAGCACCGGCUAACUCUGUGCCAGCAGCCGCGGUAAUACAGAGGGUGCAAGCGUUAAUCGGAUUUACUGGGCGUAAAGCGCGCGUAGGUGGCCAAUUAAGUCAAAUGUGAAAUCCCCGAGCUUAACUUGGGAAUUGCAUUCGAUACUGGUUGGCUAGAGUAUGGGAGAGGAUGGUAGAAUUCCAGGUGUAGCGGUGAAAUGCGUAGAGAUCUGGAGGAAUACCGAUGGCGAAGGCAGCCAUCUGGCCUAAUACUGACACUGAGGUGCGAAAGCAUGGGGAGCAAACAGGAUUAGAUACCCUGGUAGUCCAUGCCGUAAACGAUGUCUACUAGCCGUUGGGGCCUUUGAGC